GCUUGAAUGAAAAGGCCCGGGGAAUCACCCACAAGCCUAACAUUGGGAUGGCCUAGCAGCACCACCACCCUGGCCUCCUGGAGGCAGGCGGGGAACAGAAAGCCAGCCGAGAGAACAUGUCCAGGUGUGCUGGGCAGAGCACACAUUGCUUAGUGCCAGUGUCACAAGGAUGGUGAUAUUUACACGGGAUGAGGGACGACACACACAGAGAUGUAAGGGUAGGAGCUGACCAGAACAGCCGUGGUAUCUUCAUGACAGCACACACAGGCAAUGCCAUUGGACUGUGGAGGUCCCGUGGUGCUGGGCACAGCUGGGGGCACAGACCCAGGUUGAGGACCCCUGAGACCUCGUGUGCCCAAGUGGAGGGACAAAACUGGGGAUCCAUGAGGACAUAUGUGCAAAAUUGAACGGUGUGAGAACUCUAUUCCAGGGUGUGUAUGUAAGGAGAGGGCACACAUACACGUAUAAGACACACAAAUGGAAACAUGGGAACAUUGGAGCUAGUGAGGAGACCAGAGCAGCAGGUCAGGGACAGGUGCGUGGGUUCAUGCAGCCUGUGCAGAGCCAAUGACAGACCCCGGUGAGAGCCCAGGACCGAGGUCCCACAUUGGAGAGUCCACGGGGGGACAAGGAAGGCCCCAACUGAGGAAGAUCUGAUUCCACUGAAAACACAGGGUCUCCUCUGCUCACACGGGUGUGAGCCCAUGUAUAAACGGUGAAUGUCCAGGCACCAGCUGGAGGAGGCCCAGACAUCUGAUGGAGGAGGCCCAGGCAUCUGAUGGAGGAGGCCCAGGCACCAGCUGGAGGAGGCCCAGGCAUCUGAUGGAGGAGGCCCAGGCAUCUGAUGGAGGAGGCCCAGGUAUCUGAUGGAGGAGGCCUAGGCAUCUGAUGGAGGAGGUCUAGACAGUGGCUGGAAG
rnacentral:lncRNA from 1 species